UGAAUUCGCAGCCAAAAGUAUGGAAUCGCGUUUUGGACCUAUACAUUUCUAACUCUUUUGCAUGUCACUCAUUCAGUCACAUCCACCAAGAGGAGAAAAAUCGCCGACGAAAUUGCUUUCAGCCGACAUAUUUGCGAGGUCCCAGAUCUAUUAUUUGUAUGGUGUACACACGGUUUAUUGUGUAAUGAGCUCUGUUCAUUUUCUUUUUAGUGUGAAGUUUCACUUCACACUAUUGUGAUGGCUGGCGAAUUCACACGAAUCAGUCAGUCAAUCAUAGAGUAAACUUUCCGGGGGGUGUAUACGAUUUAUGUUCGCAGUGAUUUAUUGUACUUAGUCAGUGCUUUGAAGGUUAUUUAAGCAAUUUUAUUUAUUUUCUUUAAAUAUUCUUUUGUCCUUUUGCCAAGUUCACAAAAAGUUCGAGGAAUCGUUGUCGUUAUUGUAAGUUUUUGUAAUUUCAGAACAUUCGCUUCUCAUGUUGUGUAAAGGAUCUUUCCCCCCGGAACACCCGAUUUUUCUAUAGCAGGGCAAAUGCGCAUGCGCUCUGAAGCCGUAGAUCACGAUCACGAUGCUAGGAAGGAGCGACAGUGUUGUUUUCAAAUGUAUAAAUUUAAACAUUUCAGACGUGAAUAUUAGUAAAUCUUUGAGAAUCUACGCAAUAUAUAAAUUUAUGUUAUGCAUGACGGUCUUUCAAUCAAGUACUGAUAUACUGUAUGUGGACGGUAAAUUUAUUAAUAUACAGAGCUAGGAAGGAGCGACAGUGUUGUUUUCAAAUGUAUAAACAUUUCAGACGUAAAUAAGGAGAAAGUCUUUGAGAUUGUAGGCAUUCGAUUGAGUGCCGAUAUUAUUUUCACGGCAUACUCGUUAUACAGAGGUACAGUAUACGUAGGCAGAAGCGAGACAGUGUUGUUUUCAAGUAUAUGAAUAUUUCAGACAUGAAUAUUGAGAAAAUCUUUGCCCUUUGAGAUUCUACGCAAGAAUACUAUUAUGCUGUGCAUUACCGGUAUUCAAUGGGCUAUUCCAUUUAAUAUCCGUACCCCCCCUGUCGAGGAUCCCUGGAAUUCUUCAGGGGUAAAGGGUUUUGAGCUUGGAAUUCUUCAGGGGUAAAGUGUUUUGAGCUUGGAAUUCUUCAGGGGUAAAGUGUUUUGUGUUUGGAAUUCUUCAGGGGUAAAUGGUUUUGAGCUUGGAAUUCUUCAGGGGUAAAGGGUUUUGAGCUUGGAAUUCUUCAGGGGUAAAGAGGUUUGAGAUUGAAAUUUUUCAGAGCUUGGAAUUCUUCAGGGGUGAAGGGGUUUGAGCUUGGAAUUCUGCAGGGGUAAAAGGUUUUGAGCUUGAAAUUCUUCAGGGGUAAAGGGUUUUGAGCUUGGAAUUCUUCAGGGGUAAAAGGUUUUGAGCUUGGAAUUCUUCAGGGGUAAAGAGUUUUGAGCUUGGAAUUUUGGAAUUCUUCAGGGGUAAACAGUUUUGAGCUUGGAAUUCUUCAGGGGUAUGACAAUGAAAAACAUGUAUCCUCGACAGGGGGGGUACGGAUAUUAAAUGGAAUAGCCCAAUUAAGUGCCCAUCGAUAUUAUUUAGACCGUGUAUUCAUUAUACAUUGUCAUUGACUGUAUAAGGUGCUACAUCACAGAAUAGAUGGCUACGCUCAGUACAAAGAGCGAAACAACUAUUAAACAGAAGCGGGUAAACGUUUGUACGGCAUUUACGAAGAAAAUAACUUGCGAGACCAAAGAAAUCAGUUGAGUCAGAGCUCCUUAUUUAAAUAAGAAAGACGAG